GCCCUGGUAGCUUAGUUGACAAGAACACCGUAAUAAUAAUGUGGAGGUCGAGGGUUCGAGCCCCUCUCGGGGGA
rnacentral:tRNA from 1 species